AUGGACGACUCACUCAUGUUCAUGCAGUGGGCGGUGAGCACGCUGCAGCACGAGGAGGAUCAAGGAGGAGCCGACGAGAACCGGGCUGGCUUCGCAUGCCUCCAGGCGCUCCCGGAGCUCCCGGAAGCACACAAGAGGCAGAGCUCCGGCGCGGAUACCCGCCGCUGUGGGGGGCUCAUCAGUCCAUCCCCUGAUGCAGCCAUGCAGCAAGGCAGCAAUUCCACGUUGACGUCGUUCCCGGCCUCGGGCAGUAUGAGCAGUACCGGCGCCACCUACACCCACUCCAUGAGCUGGAACUUCAACGCGGCCCAGCCGUCCAGCGUGGGCGGUGGCACACAGGCCGCCAGAGCGCCGUUUCGUUCCGGCGUGUCACAGCCGACGAGGAGGGCCGCCGCAAGGAAAGUCGCCGCCUGCGCACAAGGCCACAUCAUGGCGGAGCGGAAGCGCCGGGAGAAGACCAACCAGCGCUUCAUCGAGCUCUCUGCCCUCAUCCCAGGCCUCAAGAAGAUGGACAAGGGGACGAUUCUUAGCAACGCAACGAGCUAUGUGAAAGAGCUACAAGAGAAAGUCAAGUCCCUGGAGGCGGCCGGCCGCAGCCAUAGGAGCGUCGAGACCGUGGUGCUCGUCAAAGAGGGGUCCCCUUUGUUCUACUCGGCAGACCGGACGCCGGCGAGGAGCCAGCUGCUGCCCGAGAUCGAGGCAAAACUUUCAGGGAACAAGGUGAUGUUGAGGAUCCAUUGUGAAAUAAAUGGGAAGGGUCUGGUCGCCAGGGUUCUUGCGGAGUUGGAGGAGUUCCACCUUCGCGUCGUCCACAAUAAUGUGAUGCCGUUCACGCAGUCCACUGUGAUUAUAACCACCAUGGCAAAGGCAAGUUCUCAUGAACAGAUUUAUGAUAGUACUCACUCUGAUUCAAAAUUUGGUUGUAAAACUACGACACGCACCUUGAAAAGAGGGUAG
rnacentral:rRNA from 1 species